UACGAAGGGGGCUAGCGUUGUUCGGAUUUACUGGGCGUAAAGCGCGUGUAGGCGGAUCGCUAAGUCGGGUGUGAAAGCCCAGAGCUCAAAUCUGGAAUUGCAUUCGAUACUGGCGGUCUGGAGAAGAGAAGAGGCGAGUGGAAUUCCGAGUGUAGAGGUGAAAUUCGUAGAUAUUCGGAGGAACACCAGUGGCGAAGGCGGCUCGCUAGUAUCUUGCUGACGCCGAGACGCUAAAGCGUGGGGAGCAAACAGU
rnacentral:rRNA from 1 species